rnacentral:rRNA from 1 species
CGGCAGACUGGUGAGGAACACGUGAGUAAUGUACCUUUAAGCCGAGGAUAGCUUCGCGAAAGCGGAGGUAAUACCCGAUGUGGAUAUAGGGGCGAGAGUUCUUAUAUCUAAAGGCGGUCGUAAGAUUGCCACUUAAAGAUCAGCUCGCGUCCUAUCAGCUAGUUGGUAGGGUAAUGGCCUACCAAGGCUUAUGACGGGUAGCUGGCCUGAGAGGGUAUUCAGCCACACGGGGACUGAGACACUGCCCCGACUCCUACGGGAGGCUGCAGUCGAGGAUAUUUAGCAAUGGACGAAAGUCUGACUAUGUGACGCCGCGUGAGGGAUGAAGGUUUUCAGAUCGUAAACCUCUUUCGAUGGGGAAGAAUAUUCCGGUUAAUCGCCGGAACUGACGGUACCCAGAGAAGAAGCCACGGCCAACUCCGUGCCAGCAGCCGUGGUAAUACGGGGGUGGCGAGCGUUACUCGGAUUUAUUGGGUGUAAAGGGCAGGUAGGCGUUCCAUUAAGUUAGAAGUGAAAUCCUAAGGCUCAACCUUAGAACUGCUUUUAAAACUGUUGGAAUUGAGGAUAGAAGAGGAGAGUGGAAUUCCCGGUGUAAGAGUGAAAUCUGUAGAUAUCGGGAGGAACACCAGUGGCGAAAGCGACUCUCUGGUCUAUAUCUGACGCUAGCUGCGAAAGCUAGGGGAGCAAACAGGAUUAGAUACCCUGGUAGUCCUAGCCGUAAACGAUGAGCACUAGGUGUUGGGGGUUUCCCUCAGCGCCGCAGAUAACUCGUUAAGUGCUCCACCUGGGGACUACGACCGCAGGUAAAACUCAAGGAUUGACGGGGCCCGCACAGCGGUGGAACAUGUGGUCAUCG